rnacentral:rRNA from 1 species
AGUGAACGCUGGCGGCGUGCCUAAUACAUGCAAGUCGAACGGAGUGGCGCACGGGUGAGUAAUAUAUAGCUAAUCUGCCCCUUGCUGGCGGACAACAGUUAGAAAUGACUGCUAAUACUCCAUAGCAAGGGAUGAGACUAUAACGUAUCAGUUAGUCGGUGGGGUAACGGCCUACCGAGGCUAUGACGCGUAACUGGUCUGAGAGGAUAAUCACUCGCAUUGUACGUGAGGCACGAUCCGGACACCUACGGCAAGGGGCAGUAGGGUGUCUGGCGCAAUGGGCGUAACCCUAGCGCGUCAACGCCGCGUGGAGGAUGACACUUUGCGAAGCAUAAACUCCUUUUGUUAGGAAAGCGGUACCUAACGAAUAAGCACCGGCUAACUCCGUGCCAGCAGCCGCGGUAAUUC